CUUUAUUUGAGGAUGCUGCAUAAACAUCAUUAAACAUAUGAUAAAAUGGAAAUAAGAGUUUCCCAGUCUGUAUGCGCAAAUGUUUGGCGUGGAGAUUACUGAUGAAGAGUUUGAGCUGCUACUUGACAGAAUCCCCCUUGAUGAAGAUGGAAAUGUCAGAUACCCCCAGUUCAUGGCCAGGUUUGAUUCCUGAGGGCCGUGUGGAAUCGUCCUAAUCCGGGAAGAGCCACUGCCUCCCUGUGUGAUCUGACACAGUGACAUAUCACUUGACCUCGGUCGCGGCAGCUGUACAGCGAGGUGGAAAAGGCGGCUGACGGACAAGCAGGGGAUGCCUUUCAGCACAGCUUCCUCGGGGACUAAAUGUGAACAGGGCUUCAGGGAAUAGAUGUGUUGCUAGUUGAAAAUGCUGUAGCAGCUCUGACCCUCGAAAUUUUGAAGCUGGGGACUAAAUCAGUGUUUCACUGAGCAGCACUUGCACAUUUUGAGUGAAUGCCUUUAUCUGGAAAAGACAAACAUCCCAGGAGUCUGUAAGAAGUAAGAAGUAAGCUGUUGCAGCUUGAAUUUGUGAGAGGACUUCUGUGGAGCCUGAACCACCUCCCUCCAUCUCAAAGGAGACCGAGCCUUCCCUCUUUCUUAAAGGUGUGUUUGUAUUCUCUUUUCAGCAAGGCACCCUGGCAGCCUGCAUAGUAAGAUUGUAGCUCAGCAAGCUCCUGCUUGCAGCAUGUCCCAGCAGGCUGCAGAAGGGGAACGUGGAAAGGCAGACCCACUCCAAGGCUUUUGACUUGCCACACCUUUCCGAGAGGAUGACAUCUCAGAGGCUCUGUGUCUGUCCCAGAUUGUGACUGUUUUCUUCUGAAGAGCAAACGUGAGAUUCAAAGAGCGCCUGGCAAAAGCUGCUUCUAGUACUGCAGCAGCAGCAUGGGAAAUAUUUCAUGUAUGUAGAAGAUAGAGCAUCUGUGUAGGCGGUUGUUUUCUGCAACUCUCUGUGAGUUUGGGGAGAAGUUAUUAAGUACUGCUUCUCCUUCUUUCUUUAAAAAAGGACAGAGAGAGAAAGCCUGCAUUUUCUACCAUUUCCCAAGAGGCUUUUUAUCUGUUUAAACCAACUAGGGAUUUUUCACAUAUUGACAUAAGCAUUCAUUUGCUAAUUUGCUGGACAUUAAACUGCACAGCAUUCUUGAAUGAGGCUGGAAUACUUGGGUACUUAGUGCUGCUCAGACCCCGCAUCAUUCCCAGUACACAUAUGGUUUUCCUCCUCUAUCUCCUAGAUAAAAGUCACUGUUUGAUCGCCUUAAGGGAAAGAAUGAGUUAAAUGGACCAAUAUUUUAGCCUUGGCUCUAAAACUGGGCCUUUUCAGAAACUCCUCAGCACCUGCAGCAGCUAGGUCAUUUGCACAUACAUAAAUAAAUAAAUUAACAAUGAAUAAAUAAUUUAAUCCCGCCACACAAUGCCACCUUGCAGAUCUGAUCCUUUGCUCCCAGUGAAUUUGUCCAUUCCUAAUUCUUUUUGAUAAAGUCUUCAGAUACUUGCUGACUGUCAGUCUAAUUUUCUUAUUGUUUUCGCUUGAUUAGUUCUGUAUGACCUAAGGUCGCCCUUAAAAUCCACAUCUCUCGUGAAGACUCCGAAAGGCCUUCUUUUUUUUCAAAGGGAUGGAAAGUGCCUGCCAUUUCUCCGGACAAAAGCCUGGAAGGUUUUCAGUUAUUAGCCUUCUGAAGCAGCCCUUUCGCUCACCCAAGCGCAAAAAAAACUCAUUAGGGGGCACCUUUCUUUCUGCCUUCUUCAUCUGAUGCGUGUGGGGUUUACGUGUUUCAAGACUUUCAGGUCUCGGAUGGAUUUGGGCAGCCUCCCUUUUAACCCUGCCGGACUGUGGUUACGCCCUGGGCAGAGAUUGGCUGUAUCUGUGUGCACUGAACCACCUGGAGAUGCUUCGUCCUUUCAGCAGCUGUUUUACACCCCGCUGGUCUGCUGUUCUGUUGAGCGCUUCUGCCCGACGUACAGCACUGCCAUACCUGUGCCUGCCUCUUAGGAAAAAGAGCAACCCAAAAGUAUACUGACAGUUACAGUGACGGGAAGACUCUCUGAAGAGCCCUUAAGAAGCCACAUGUUGGCAGCUGAAUUUCAAUCCAUCCCAAAUCUCCACAGCUUCCUGCUAGAAGAGGAUGAAAUUGACCACAUGCUCUCAAAAUUCAUCUCAGUCUGAAAAGGCAGGUUAACUGCAAAUCCAUUUGGGGAAAAAAUUAUAACAACAACAACAACAACAAAAUUAAAAACUGCUACAAAUUAAUGUAGAAUAUUCCUUUGAGAAGGAUAACAGCCUUUAUGUCCCCCCAGUUGCCUAUCCUUCUAACUACGUCACAUGUAUAUUUCUCCUAUUUAUGUCCCUGGUCUAUUGACUGUGGGUCUGUACUGUACGUUGUUUUGUGGAGAGGUGGUAGAAGCCCUUUCUGAGAGCUUAAAGCAAAGCUGAAAAUAAGGCAGUUACAAACUAUGCGUAACGUAUGUUAUGUGACUGAGAAAACGAGCUGUCUGAAAAGGGGAGGCUAAGGUGCUCUAUGGAGAUUUGAGAAGGUGAAAUAUUCAAGCUGCUUUGCUGCCGGGUGCCUCCUCACAACAGAGCAGUGUUCCUUUGGCCUCACAGAAUUAGUUUAAGUCCUGCACGUGCAUGUGGGAGGGUAGAUUACUGUGCCUAGUUGUGUCAUCUUUUCUUCUUGGAGGAACAGUUCAUGCCUUCAGUACAGCAGGCAGUAGGACCUGCUCUGCAGUUGUUCUGCACCUGACUUCACUUUCACCAUCAGUGUAACUCAGUGUUUAGGACCAAGGUAGGUUACUUAUUUUCCUUACAUCUUUGCAAACACAGGGCUGUGUGUCUCAGUUAGUAAACUGAGCACCAAGAGCCAGUGAAAUAUGGAUCACUUACCUGUUUGGUAAGGUCUCUGCUGAUGCAGCUACAUCAUGCCUCCUCCUCGUGUAGCAGCUCUAGCUUCAGGGGUUUCCAGAAAGCUUUGUCUACUUGCAAGAGCUAAGGAUUUGGUCCAGAAUAUACACAAGUAGGUAAAUAGCAUGUUUGUUUGGUUGCUUUAAUAUACUGACUUUCCUGCAGGCAGUAAUUUGUAACCGACUAUAAGCAUUGGUACCCUUAGGCAACAUUUAAUUGGUUGUCAUGCAUCUUAGCCAUCUAACAGGUUUUUUUGGCUUUCCACAACGAAAAAUACACUUCUGGUCUUGUUCUUUUUCCAAAUACUUUCCCUCCUCCAGACAUCAAAGGGAAUUUACAGAACUUUCAGUAAUAAAACUCCAAUAAAAGGUUGCUUUUUUCCUCUCUCUUUGGUUAAAGAAAUGAGAAGGUAACAUAUGAAUAAAGUAUGUGAUGUAA
ensembl:lncRNA